GCCUCAGUGGUGUAGUGGUAGCACGCAUCCCCGAUAUGGAUGGAACGCGGGUUUGACUCCCGUCUGAGGCC